ensembl:lncRNA
UUUUUCUGGGGUUCUUUAUGUGCUUGAGGCCUUCUGAUGGCUGACUUCUAUCACAAGAUACAAAACAGAAGAAAAACUAUUUCAGAGCAAGUGCAAGUAGUAUGAAGAUCCCAUACGUGUGCAAAUUUUUCUGAAGAGGCUCAGGUCCUUCCUUUCCUAAUCCCUCUCCUCCAUGGACAGCUGAGCUGUGUUUGUGCCUGACAGCAAGCAAAUCUGGCAACACAAAUAGCUGUGUUAGCCACAGCUAUUAUAAAGAAAAUUCUGCAAUGUAACCAUCUUGCAGCCAACAUCAAAUAACCCAGGAAAACAAAUGACACAUCUUUCUUGGGUGAUGCUUCUGAUGUUAUCAGUAGGAAAAGCCUUCAAAGAAAAUGAGCAUCAAGCCUGAAACAUUACAUAAUGCCGAGUUGAAAGACAAAGUGUUUUCUGGAAUUCUAAAUUUUUUUAAGCAGCUGCCUUUAAAUGAACACAGCCAUCACUGUUAUAAAAUAUUCAAAGCCUCAUACAUAUCAAACAGACAGAGUUACUAGGGCAAACAAUCUCAUGUAUCAGUUAAACAAACAUUUGGAAUUUUUCCUAAGCCCGCUCUAGGUCCUUAAAAUGCUUCUAGUUUUAAUAGAUUCUAUCUAGUAUCCAUUUGUUUUCUGUUUUUUUGUCUUUUUUGUAAGACAAUUUCCAACUUUGCAGGACCCUGCUGGCUCUCUGGCAGAACAGAUUGGCAUGCAGUCCUGGAAGCCUGAGAUUAAAGGACUUCUCCGUGUUAGGUCAUUAGCCAUUCCACUCACCGUACCAUAGCUCGUUUUCCCAUUCCUAAUUGAUCACUUCAUUGAUCAGACAUUAUGGAGAUGGCUUAGUAACCUAAGCUUUAGCUUUGAAAUGCAGUAGAGAUUGCAAUUACCUGAAAGUCUUCAAGGGUGCCUGCAAUUUUCAGACAGUUGGAGGCUCAGCUAAUCAAAGAUUCUGGCUAAUGGAAAGGAGAGAGAAGAGCUGUUUCAGCUGGGCUCCCUAAGGCCAAGAGAGAUCCAGAGAGAGCACACAGAUGCGCCUAUAAAAAUUUUCCGUGCCAAAGCGGGGUGCUAGUGCAGGUGUGGAGGAGGUGCAGCAUCCCCUGUUCUGAAGAUAGGUCAGAGUAACUCAGCGCUUGCUGAGCUGUCCCGGGAUUAGAGCCGUCAGGAGUUUGAAAUGGUGCUCAGAGGGCUGUUCUGCCUCUUGGAAUCAAAUGUUCUGGUUGUUCCCACGUGUACUGUCGGUAUUGCAGGGUCUUGAAAUGUAGAGGGCUAUAGGGGCAUUUGCAGUGUGGAAGGCUGAGGAGUGUAUGUGCUCGUGUGUAGAAACUGUCUGGAUCCUGUGUCUUUCCCUCUUGGAAUAUUUUCCAGGGCAAAAACUUUAAGGCAGUCUCAAACAAACUGAAUAUAAUAGCCAAUUGGGACUGAGGGAGUGACUGGGGCUGAGGUGACAGCACAGGCAUGCUGCCCUUGUAGUUAUUAUGAAUCUCUCUCACAGACACCUUUCUUUUCAGUUUUGGUAAGUGUGCCGUUAAAAACUGAGAUCUUUACUAUGCUCUCUGGUAUUAUAGCUCCUACCAAGUAACGUAUUCUUCACUAUCUGCUAAUUAUUCUCCUACUGCUUGUUAAUAUAUGUUAUGCUACGGGUCAUCAUCUACUCUGAAGGCUGGUUUUCAGUGGUGUGCACGUUGUGAUAUAGAGGAUAAGAGAUUUCUCUUUGAAGGCAGUUUAUAAAUCUUAUUGGGCUCCUUCAUGAUGAAAGGCACUAUAGAUAUAUAAGAGAUCAAAGCUGUGUAAAGAUCAGUCGUGUUUGUUUGCAUGAGCUUUCUCUUUCUGUUCCUUCUGAGGAUUUUGAGCUUCAAAGUUUCAGCUUUAAAGAAACUCAAAAGAACCCCACAAAAGAAAUCCUAACAACCCACCACAGUGCAGCUGGUUUGAGGUCAUGCCAGCCAAGUGCCAUACAAUUUUGACCCGGGCUCGUACCCUCUUCUUCAAUGCUCUUCUAUCUACCAGUGAUAGCUGGCUCAGAGAAAACUUGUGGUGUUUUUAAUGACAGCGAGGACCCAGAGCAGUAGGUUCUGGAAAGGAGGAAUGUUGCUUAACAGUAAAGGGGGAAAAGAAGUUUAACUCAAAACAUAAGUGUUUCUAUUGUGACUUUUCAGUCUGCUAGCAAUAUUAUUAUCAUUUGUGAGUAUAUAUUAGCAAUUGGCCUAAAAACAUAUGCAUUUAAUUAUAAUGUUUCUGGUAUGGUUUGCUUUUUUUUUUUGAUACACUUUACAUUGAAAUUCUGAAUUCUUAAACAUUUGAUUUAAGUGCAAAGUAUGCUGCUUUCAAUGUCUGUAGGAAUUGGUAGCAUAAAUGUAGUGCAUUCAUUGAAAAGAAAUGGCUGUGUGCCAUGUCCUUUGAUAUUGGGGUACUGUUUAGCAUAAAGUGGUCCGUGAUAUGUGAGCUUUUAUUUUUCAGCUGAACAACUGCAAUUUUUUUUUUUUUGCAACGUAGAGUGUUCUCAUAAAUGACAUCAAAAUAAACUCAUGACCC